AGCAGCAGGGAGCUGAGUUAACUUUGCGCCGGAUUCAGUGUCAUUAAUAACAACUUGAGUGGCAGUGGCAUAUGCAAAGAGUUUCCCGUUUGGACUGUAACAAGCGUUACGCGCAGGCUCAGAUAUAGCUUCAAAUUUGGGAGGAGAAGCAUAGUUUUCACUAGCAUUCACGAGCCCUAUGGACUUUGAUGACCGAUCUAAAUGUUAGCUGACAACUUAGAAAAAUUUUACGAACACGCAAACUGGCUUUUUUGAGACAUGCUAUGGAGUCCACGAAAGCGAUUGUUGGUUGUAGAAGUCUUAUUUGCUAUACUUGAGCAAAAUGCGUUAGCCGCCGAUUUAGCGACACCUAAAGAGUCCAGUAAUAUGAAAACAAAGCAUGAAGUGGGUUCUCAACUGUACAUCUUCUAAAGAAUUAAUACCAAUUUAAACUUGCUUUUAAAUAAUUAUCGUACUUGCAAAAACUCAAUCUCGCCAAAGGCGCAUCUUGACUAUAUUUAUAAAUUCAUUUGUGGAAACAUAGACAAAAAGUAUAUACAUUAUUAGGUUCUAAAAAUCUUCAAAUCUAUCACAAUAUUUGUUUUCUAAAAAUCACAGUGAGUAAUUUUCACUUUAUGGUGGGAUCAAAGCAUCUGACAGUGAGGCAACAAGAUUCUCAAAUUUAGCUUCACGACUCAACUCAUUCGAUCUUGCUUUUUCUGUAAUAACCUGUGAACCUUUGCUCUUCUUAUAAAGAACAUACUCUACCGAGUGAGUUAAACUGCCAUUUCUAUUCUCCAAAGGAAUUGGGUCUAACGGGGGGACCGUGUACCAUAAAACGUUCUGGUGCUCAUCCUUAUCAAGCAUUUUAGCAGUUUCAGUAUUAAUCACAGUCACAUCAUCGAUUCCGGGAACCGGGGAAGAUUCAUCCAAUUUUUGGUGCGUACCUGGGACAAUGAAAGCUGGUGGAAAUACUGGAAGAGAAGGCAUACUGUUGAUGGUAUAGUUAGUCAUUGGGGUUUUCGCCCCAGAUAUAUUACCAUUGGAUCCCCCGUGCCUUCCGUUAUGAGAAGUGUAGCUUAAUUUAGCAUAAGGAACGUUCAUUCGUCCUGAAUGACCACCUGAAAUUUGAUGAGAAUGUUGCGUCGUAUUUAAGGAUUGCAAGGACCCAGAUUGAGCGUAAAACGGACGAGCAGGAAUAGGACUAGUACUUUUCGUGGAAGUACGCAUAAUCGGUGAAUUGAAUGCAGCCGUAGGCACAUGAGAAGAAUUGUGAUACGAAGAAUGUGAAGAUCUUUCUGAAUGUGAACUUGUUUUCCUAGCAUACGUGGGCAUUACACUGGGAGGAUUUGGAGCAGAGGACAGAGGUGUGGCUAUAUCGUCAGUCGAUAACGGAGUCGAAGCCUUGGUAGAAAAACUUUUUGUCUCUGAAAUACUAGACGGGGGAAGAAGUGAUCCCUGUGAGGGCAACAUAUGUGUAUUACUAUCAGUUGUCGCAGGUGAAGGCAAACCCUGAGAUUUGCUAGCCAAUAAGUGUAGCAAUGGACUAGCAACUUUUGUCAGAGUAAUAGGUCGGUCAAACAAAAUCAUCUCAUAUUCAGAUCCGCUAACUUCUUGGGGCAUGCAUGCCUUCCAUGAUUUGAUUUUGCUGAAUUGUUUAGUAUCAUCAUUAUAACGUGACUCACAAACAAAAACGGGUGUGGAACGAAUUCCUUUUGGUCGACCACGAAUGUAUCGAGUAAUGUACAUAACAAAGCAUCUUCCCACAAUCUCUGAGACAGGGUGAUCUCUAUAAAGGGAUGUUUUGAAGACUUCAUUUUCAUAAAAAACGGCAUCAGCUCGAUGCACAGUUUGUUCAGGUCUUAAAUACCAGCAAACAGUAACAUAAUUAAUAUCAUCAUCGGAUUUCCAGAUUCUAUAAAUUUGGGAAACGAUUGGCUUACUUGAAUCGGCAGGGUUACGAAUCAAUACCCAAUCACCUACGUUGAGUAAUGUGCCAUCAAUGGAUACAGCAGGCUGUAUAUCAUUCUUUGGUAAUUGAGGAGAGGCUCGAGAAUCGGUUUCAUAAUUAAAGAAUUCACUAUCCAGCUUUCCAGCUUCAAGUCUUAGUACGUCUGCCAAAUAAUUUUUUAAGAAAUCUGCAUCACGAUAGACCUGGCUUGAAGGAUCAUUAAAUGACUUAGCAUUAUCAAACAUGAGGUUGAAAUCAUCUACGAACUGCUCGAUUGUUUCAUAACGAUGCUUGCUUAACUUUUUUUGAAUGACUUCAAGAGCCAUCGGCUGUUCAAUAGCCUGGUAAUACUCAGGAAACAUACGAGGAUCAGGUAAUCUUUCGAAAGGAGCAAACAACUGUCUUCCACUCCCAUCUCUGUAUCUCCUUACCUGCCGCAUAAUGACCUUUGCGCGAGCUUCUAAUGAGCUAAGAGGUUUGGAUGAAGGCUGAAGUUUUCGGCGCUUUAAAUCCUCAGAUUUGUAUCUACCAUCCCUACCAACCAUAGAUCUUCCUUUUACAUCCGAGUCCUCCUCCUCCACAUAUAAAUCAGAGUCAUAAGCUUCGUCCUCAUUUUUAACAAACUUGGAACCAUUAGGUGGAGAAACACUAUAUUCUGGAUUUCUACUGAUAGGGCUACUAGUGGUAGCAGAUGGUGAGUCCGUAUUUGGCCAGGUUAUUACUGGAAUGUAGCCCUGUUGUUGAAACGUCCGUAAUUGCUGUAUACAAAAUUCUUCAAGGGCUUGAACAAAGCUAUAUGUUUGCGUUCCCUCAUAGAGAGCCUUAACAUUAAUAAAUAAAUAAGCCAGAUCAGAGACAAAUUCAGAGAAAUCAUGGUACUGAAAUUCGUCAAUCUUGCUUUGAAUCGACUUCAGAGUAGUAGGUCGGCCAUUUGACGAAGGAGAUACUGAUGCUGUAUCAACUGAAGCGUUAUCUAUUAGAGGAGAAAGUAAUUGACCACUUGAAAAAAA
rnacentral:lncRNA from 1 species